rnacentral:rRNA from 1 species
UGCAGUCGAGCGGAGAUGAGGUGCUUGCACCUUAUCUUAGCGGCGGACGGGUGAGUAAUGCUUAGGAAUCUGCCUAUUAGUGGGGGACAACAUUCCGAAAGGAAUGCUAAUACCGCAUACGCCCUACGGGGGAAAGCAGGGGAUCUUCGGACCUUGCGCUAAUAGAUGAGCCUAAGUCGGAUUAGCUAGUUGGUGGGGUAAAGGCCUACCAAGGCGACGAUCUGUAGCGGGUCUGAGAGGAUGAUCCGCCACACUGGGACUGAGACACGGCCCAGACUCCUACGGGAGGCAGCAGUGGGGAAUAUUGGACAAUGGGCGGAAGCCUGAUCCAGCCAUGCCGCGUGUGUGAAGAAGGCCUUUUGGUUGUAAAGCACUUUAAGCGAGGAGGAGGCUACUUAGAUUAAUACUCUAGGAUAGUGGACGUUACUCGCAGAAUAAGCACCGGCUAACUCUGUGCCAGCAGCCGCGGUAAUACAGAGGGUGCGAGCGUUAAUCGGAUUUACUGGGCGUAAAGCGUGCGUAGGCGGCUGAUUAAGUCGGAUGUGAAAUCCCUGAGCUUAACUUAGGAAUUGCAUUCGAUACUGGUCAGCUAGAGUAUGGGAGAGGAUGGUAGAAUUCCAGGUGUAGCGGUGAAAUGCGUAGAGAUCUGGAGGAAUACCGAUGGCGAACGCAGCCAUCUGGCCUAAUACUGACGCUGAGGUACGAAAGCAUGGGGAGCAAACAGGAUUAGAUACCCUGGUAGUCCAUGCC